rnacentral:lncRNA from 1 species
UCUCUCAUUUUGGGGCCUACUUAAUUAAAGGUCCAACACCACAAAAUACAAAGGAACAUAUUAUAUGUAUUAUGUUUCCUGAUUCAACAUGAAAAUCAUGAAAGAGCGAACUGUGACAGAGGAAGUUAUCUUGGCAUCAUAAAAACUUGACAAGGACAUGGAGCACUUCAAGAAGAGAAAGCUUGGUCCAGGAGAUUACCAACUGCAUGAGAAAGAGAAACCAGAACAGCAGUAGGAGAAGUGAAAGGACCAAAUGUAAUAACAGGGUAUGAGGAUGGAGCAAUGAACUGUAUUGUUGAUUCUUUCCUCAGAUCAAUCUGCAGGAGAAUAAAUACAGAGGACUGUUAGGAUAUAUCCAUGUGGGUUACCACAAAAGUUCAUAAUAGGUUAGGUUUUUACUCAACAAUAGCAAUUUUUCCUCCAACAACCCCACCCCAACCCCCCAUCCCUCUCUCAUUUUGGGGCCUACUUAAUUAAAAGGGUAAAUACAAUCAAGCUCCAGAAGUUUUAGUCUGAAAUCAAGCUGCUCCACACUCUUUGCAUGUUUCUUAUUUAAUUCCUCAUUACAAUCCAUCAAUUUCCUCAACUGACAAACAAUAGAAUGCUGAAAAAACCAAUUAAUAAAUCUAAGAAAUAAAAUACAGCAGAAAAAACAAAAGUAAGCUUUGGAAAUUAGGAGUAAAUAUGGGAGUCACUAUAGGCUAGUUUUGAG